rnacentral:rRNA from 1 species
GUCGAACGAAGCGCCUGCGGCGGACCCCUCCGGGGGAAAGCCGCAGGGGACUGAGUGGCGGACGGGUGAGCAACGCGUGGGCAACCUGCCCCGUACCGGGGGACAACAGCCGGGAACGGCUGCUAAUACCGCAUAUUCCCGCGGGGCCGCAUGGCCCUGCGGGGAAAGCUCCGGCAGUACGGGAUGGGCCCGCGUCUGAUUAGCUUGUUGGCGGGGUAACGGCCCACCAAGGCUGCGAUCAGUAGCCGGCCUGAGAGGGCGGCCGGCCACAUUGGGACUGAGACACGGCCCAGACUCCUGCGGGAGGCAGCAGUGGGGGAUAUUGCACAAUGGGGGGAACCCUGAUGCACCGACGCCGCGUGAACGAAGAAAUAUUUCGGUAUGUAAAGUUCUAUCAGCAGGGAAGAAAAUGACAAAAACAUGACCAAGAAGCCCCGGCUAACUACGUGCCAGCAGCCGCGGUAAUACGUAGGGGGCGAGCGUUAUCCGGAUUCACUGGGCGUAAAGGGAGCGCAGGCGGCACGGCAAGUCCGGUGUGAAAGCCCGGGGCCCAACCCCGGGACUGCACUGGAAACUGCCGGGCUGGAGUGUCGGAGGGGCAGGCGGAAUUCCUAGUGUAGCGGUGAAAUGCGUAGAUAUUAGGGGGAACACCGGUGGCGAAGGCGGCCUGCUGGACGACGACUGACGCUGAGGCUCGAAAGCGUGGGG